rnacentral:tRNA from 5 species
GCUGGCGUAGCUCAGUUGGUAGAGCAUCUGAUUUGUAAUCAGAGGGUCAGGGGUUCAAAUCCCUUCGCCAGCUCCA